rnacentral:rRNA from 1 species
UGGGGAAUAUUACGCAAUGGGGGGAACCCUGACGCAGCCAUGCCGCGUGAAUGAAGAAGGCCUUAGGGUUGUAAAGUUCUUUCGGUAUUGAGGAAGGUUGAUGUGUUAAUAGCACAUCAAAUUGACGUUAAAUACAGAAGAAGCACCGGCUAACUCCGUGCCAGCAGCCGCGGUAAUACGGAGGGUGCGAGCGUUAAUCGGAAUAACUGGGCGUAAAGGGCACGCAGGCGGUUAUUUAAGUGAGGUGUGAAAGCCCCGGGCUUAACCUGGGAAUUGCAUUUCAGACUGGGUAACUAGAGUACUUUAGGGAGGGGUAGAAUUCCACGUGUAGCGGUGAAAUGCGUAGAGAUGUGGAGGAAUACCGAAGGCGAAGGCAGCCCCUUGGGAAUGUACUGACGCUCAUGUGCGAAAGCGUGGGGAGCAAACAGGAUUAGAUACCCUGGUAGUCCACGCUGUAAACGCUGUCGAUUUGGGGGUUGGGGUUUAACUCUGGCGCCCGUAGCUAACGUGAUAAAUCGACCGCCUGGGGAGUACGGUCGCAAGGUUA